rnacentral:rRNA from 1 species
ACACGUAGGGGCCUGACGUUGUUCGGAAUCAUUGGGCGUAAAGGGCGCGCAGGCGGCCGUCCAAGUCCGGUGUUAAAUGGUCGGGCUCAACCCGAUCAUGCGCUGGAAACUGGGCGGCUUGAGUCCCGUAGGGGAUGCCGGAAUUCCAGGUGUAGGGGUGAAAUCUGUAGAUAUCUGGAAGAACACCGAUGGCGAAGGCAGGCAUCUGGCCGGAGACUGACGCUGAGGCGCGAAGGCGCGGGGAGCGAACAGGUUUAGAUACCCUGGUAGUCCGCGCAGUAAACGAUGCGCACCAGGUGUCGGGCGGCAGCGCCCGGUACCGGAGCAAACGCGAUGAGUGCGCCGCCUGGGGAGUAUGCCCGCAAGGGUGAAACUCAAAGGAAUUGACGGGG